AUGCCCCAUAUCUCUCCGUGUACAGUGAAAAUGCAGUGGACAUCUUUAAUGUGAACUCCAUGGAAUGGAUCCAGACUGUCCCUCUCAAGAAGGUUCGACCCCUAAAUAGUGAAGGAUCCUUAAAUAUUUUACUUUCGGAGACAAAAAGAUUAAUAUAUUUCAAAAAGAAGAUGACAUAUGGAGAAGAGAUGGUAUUUCCUCAAACAUCAGAUAAUCAUCAGAAACAAAUGGUCCGGCACCUCCACAGCAAGCGGCGAUAUUCCUUCAGAGUUCCCAGAAGGAAGGGGCAUCUGCCCAUGGGGCUCUGAUCACCACCCUUCACAUGUGGGCCAGAGGGAGCACUCCAGAACCACACGUUGUUUGAUGUUAUUUGGAAGAAAAAGAAAUAAAUCUCUGAAACUCGGGCAGAAAUCUCUGUUCACAUCAGUGUUAUGUUUAUUUCUCUGUGACACUUCAAAAAAACCUUUACGUAGUAAGUAUAAAUGGAAGUGUAAUGUUGAUUCAUUUCUCUGUGAGUGUGAAAUAACUGAAAUUCAGUAUGUAAGCCUCCAUAUAACAUAGGGAACACAUCAUAA